UCUAUGAUUUUGUUUAUUGUUUAUGAUUACCGUUCGUGCAAAUGGUGGCGCUGUAUGGAAAAUUUGAAAACAACACGAUUGGCAAUUUAUUUGGAUUUCGGAGAUCCUGGUCCUGGUUGAAAUUUAGAGUAUUGCAGCUGUAGCCUGUAUACCAUACAUUCAACAUGAAAAGGACUGUCAGGAUGCAGCAUAAAAUGGUCUUAGCUAGAGCCUAGAAUGUUAAUUUCUUGGGAAUGUGCUGCAAGGAACUGACGGGGAGCAGUUUUUUUCUUACCAAUCAUAGUAGCAGUAAGAGACAGCCAAAGAAGUACUCAAACACUUGACAUACCCAGAAAGAUUGGAACAGAUUGUAGUUAAAUUGUUAAAACUAUUAAAGUGAAUUUAAGUUGCACUUGAACUGUAUUUUUGAAAUAAAUAUCUGAAGUAUUUAAUAUUGUCUUGAUAUUUUGUUAAACUUGGUUACUUUGCUUUAUAUCCAAAAAUUAAAGUAUGAUGGGUUUUCAACGUUGAAAUGACAUUGAAACUUCAACGUUGUGCCAACGUUGAAGCUGCAACGUUGUAUCAACGUUGAAUCUGCAACGUUGAAUCAACGUUGAAAAUUCAACGUUGUUUCAACUUUCAAAUCCGAAUAUAAAUCCAACCUUAUUUCAACGUUGAAAUCUGACCAUAAUUCAACGUUGAAACAACGUUGAUGUGCCUG